CCUACGGGGGGCAGCAGUGGGGAAUAUUGGACAAUGGGCGAAAGCCUGAUCCAGCCAUGCCGCGUGUGUGAAGAAGGCCUUCGGGUUGUAAAGCACUUUCAGUGGGGAAGAAAGCCUUGGGGCUAAUACCCUCGAGGAAGGACAUCACCCACAGAAGAAGCACCGGCUAACUCCGUGCCAGCAGCCGCGGUAAUACGGAGGGUGCGAGCGUUAAUCGGAAUUACUGGGCGGAAAGCGCGCGUAGGCGGUCUGAUAAGCCGGUUGUGAAAGCCCCGGGCUCAACCUGGGAACGGCAUCCGGAACUGUCAGGCUAGAGUGCAGGAGAGGAAGGUAGAAUUCCCGGUGUAGCGGUGAAAUGCGUAGAGAUCGGGAGGAAUACCAGUGGCGAAGGCGGCCUUCUGGACUGACACUGACGCUGAGGUGCGAAAGCGUGGGUAGCAAACAGGAUUAGAUACCCUGGUAGUC
rnacentral:rRNA from 1 species